UGUCCUACGGGACGCAGCAGUGGGGAAUAUUGCGCAAUGGGGGCAACCCUGACGCAGCAACGCCGCGUGCAGGAAGAAGGUCUUCGGAUUGUAAACUGUUGUCGCAGGGGAAGAAGACAGUGACGGUACCCUGUGAGAAAGUCACGGCUAACUACGUGCCAGCAGCCGCGGUAAUACGUAGGUGACAAGCGUUGUCCGGAUUUAUUGGGUUUAAAGGGUGCGUAGGCGGAGUGUCAAGUCAGCGGUAAAAUUUCGGGGCUCAACCCCGUCGUGCCGUUGAAACUGACACCCUUGAGUGAGUGAGA
rnacentral:rRNA from 1 species